GACGUAGGAGGCGAGCGUUAUCCGGAUUCACUGGGCGUAAAGCGCAUGUAGGCGGAUGUCUAAGUCGUGUGUUAAAGCCCCUGGCUCAACUGGGGGGAGGUCAUGCGAGACUGGAUGACUUGAGGGCAACAGAGGCACGUGGAACUCCCGGUGUAGCGGUGGAAUGCGUAGAGAUCGGGAAGAACACCCGUGGCGAAGGCGGCGUGCUGGGUUGCAACUGGACGCUGAGAUGCGAAAGUGUGGGGAGCAAACGGG
rnacentral:rRNA from 1 species